rnacentral:rRNA from 1 species
GACGAACCGUGCGAACGUUAUUCGGAAUCACUGGGCUUAAAGCGCGUGUAGGCGGGUCGGCGCGUCGGACGCUGAAAUCCCCCGGCUCAACCGGGGAAGGGGCGCCGAGACGGCCGGCCUGGAGGGACGUAGGGGGGCUGGAACUUCCGGUGGAGCGGUGAAAUGCGUUGAGAUCGGAAGGAACGCCCGUGGCGAAAGCGAGCCCCUGGACGUCUACUGACGCUGAGACGCGAAAGCCAGGGGGAGCGAACGGG